rnacentral:lncRNA from 1 species
UACUAGUUAGGAUUGAAUUACUUGUUUAAUUCACUAUUGAUACAAGUUUUAUUCAGUUUACAUAUCACAUAAUGCUCUUUCGUUUGCUACAUUUUCCAUUCAUGUUUAAUUCAACUUUAAUAUGUGUGUAAUACAUUUUAAUUCAAGUUUAAUUCAUUUGACAGUUUAUUAUGUUUCUUCAUUUGUUACGAUUAAAUUACUUAUCCAAUUAAUUAUUGAUACAAAUUUUAUUCA